AAUCAACGCUGGCGGCGUGCCUAACACAUGCAAGUCGAACGCGAAAGCCCCGCAAGGGGCAAGUAGAGUGGCAAACGGGUGAGUAACGCGUGGGUGACCUGCCUUCGAGCGGGGGAUAACGUUUCGAAAGGGAACGCUAAUACCGCAUAACAUCCCGCCUUUGAACAGGUGGAGAUCAAAGCUGGGGAUCGCAAGACCCGGCACUUGAAGAGGGGCCCGCGUCUGAUUAGCUAGUUGGUGAGGUAACGGCUCACCAAGGCAACGAUCAGUAUCCGGCCUGAGAGGGCGGACGGACACACUGGGACUGAGACACGGCCCAGACUCCUACGGGAGGCAGCAGUGGGGAAUUGUUCGCAAUGGGCGCAAGCCUGACGACGCAACGCCGCGU
rnacentral:rRNA from 1 species